UACGUAGGGUGCAAGCGUUGUCCGGAAUUAUUGGGCGUAAAGAGCUCGUAGGCGGUCUGUCGCGUCUGCUGUGAAAAUCCAGGGCUCAACCCUGGACCUGCAGUGGGUACGGGCAGACUAGAGUGCGGUAGGGGAGAUCGGAAUUCCUGGUGUAGCGGUGAAAUGCGCAGAUAUCAGGAGGAACACCGGCGGCGAAGGCGGAUCUCUGGGCCGUAACUGACGCUGAGGAGCGAAAGCAUGGGGAGCGAACAGG
rnacentral:rRNA from 1 species